rnacentral:rRNA from 1 species
AACGGCCGCGGUACCCUAACCGUGCAAAUUAGGUAGCGAUAAUCAUUUAGUCUAUUAAUUGUAGACUCAGCAUGAAAGGGUGAGCAUGAGGACCCAACUGUCUCUUAUAAUAAAUCAAUUAAACUGAUCUUCUAGUAAAAAAGCUAGAAUCUUACCAUAAGACCAGAAGANCCUGUGAAGCUUAAACUAAACUAUUAAAUCAUAUAAUAGCUACUUUCGGUUGGGGCGACCUUGGAAAAAAAAAGAACUUCGCAACAUCAAUAUAUUAAACCACAUCAGGCCCACAAGCCACACACCAAUGACCUCAGCUACGAGCUGAUCAUUGAACCAAGUUACUCCAGGGAUGAACAGCGCUAUCUUCUUCAAGGAGCCCAUAUCAANNAGAAGGUUUACGACCUCGAUGUUGGAUCAGGACAUCCUAAUGGCGCAGCCACUAU